GAACCGUGAAAGCGUGGCCU
rnacentral:snRNA from 1 species